rnacentral:rRNA from 1 species
AAACCAACAGGGAUUGCCUCAGUAGCGGCGAGUGAAGCGGCAAGAGCUCAGAUUUGAAAUCGUGUUUCGGCACGAGUUGUAGAGUGUAGGCGGGAGUCUCUGUGGAGCGCGGUGUCCAAGUCCCUUGGAACAGGGUGCCUGAGAGGGUGAGAGCCCCGUGGGGUGCUGCGCGAAGCUUUGAGGCCCUGCUGACGAGUCGAGUUGUUUGGGAAUGCAGCUCUAAGCGGGUGGUAAAUUCCAUCUAAGGCUAAAUAUUGGCGAGAGACCGAUAGCGAACAAGUACUGUGAAGGAAAGAUGAAAAGCACUUUGAAAAGAGAGUGAAACAGCACGUGAAAUUGUUGAAAGGGAAGGGUAUUGGGCCCGACAUGGGGAGUGCGCACCGCUGUCUCUUGUAGGCGGCGCUCUGGGCGCUCUCUGGGCCAGCAUCGGUUCUUGCUGCGAGAGAAGUGGCGCCGGAAAGUGGCUCUUCGGAGUGUUAUAGCCGGUGCCGGAUGUCGCGUGCGGGGACCGAGGGCUGCGACAUCUGUCUCGGAUGCUGGCACAACGGCGCAAUACCGCCCGU